CGCUGGCGGCACGCCUUAUACAUGCAAGUCGAACGAAGUAGCAAUACUUAGUGGCAGACGGGUGAGUAACAUGUAGGUAUCUUCCCUUUGGUGAGGAAUAACACGAGGAAACUUGUGCUAAUACCUCAUAAGUCUUUACGGAGAAAGCUUUAUGCGCCGAAGGAUGAGCCUGCACUUGAUUAGUUUGUUGGUGGGGUAAUGGCCUACCAAGACUUUGAUCUAUAGCUGAUCUGAGAGGAUGAUCAGCCACAUUGGGACUGAGACACGGCCCAAACUCCUACGGGAGGCAGCAGUAGGGAAUAUUGCACAAUGGAGGAAACUCUGAUGCAGCGAUGCCGCGUGAGUGAAGAAGGCCUUUGGGUUGUAAAGCUCUUUCGUCGGGGAAGAAAAUGACUGUACCCGAAUAAGAAGGUCCGGCUAACUUCGUGCCAGCAGCCGCGGUAAUACGAAGGGACCUAGCGUAGUUCGGAAUUACUGGGCUUAAAGAGUUCGUAGGUGGUUAAAAAAGUUGGUGGUGAAAUCCCAGAGCUUAACUCUGGAACUGCCAUCAAAACUUUUUAGCUAGAGUAUGAUAGAGGAAAGCAGAAUUUCUAGUGUAGAGGUGAAAUUCGUAGAUAUUAGAAAGAAUACCAAUUGCGAAGGCAGCUUUCUGGAUCAUUACUGACGCUGAGGAACGAAAGCAUGGGUAGCGAAGAGGAUUAGAUACCCUCGUAGUCCAUGCCGUAAACGAUGUGUGUUAGACGUUGGAAAUUUAUUUUCAGUGUCGCAGCGAAAGCAUUAAACACACCGCCUGGGGAGUACGACCG
rnacentral:rRNA from 1 species